GAAAUGCGAUAAGUAAUGUGAAUUGCAGAAUUCAGUGAAUCAUCGAAUCUUUGAACGCACCUUGCGCUCCUUGGUAUUCCUUGGAGCAUGCCUGUUUGAGUAUCAUGAAAUCUUCAAAGUAAAUCUUUUGUUAACUCAAUUGGUUUCUACUUUGGUAUUGGAGGUCUUUGCAGCUUCACACCUGCUCCUCUUUGUUCAUUAGCUGGAUCUCAGUGUUAUGCUUGGUUCCACUCGGCGUGAUAAGUUAUCUAUCGCUGAGGACACUGUAAAAGGUGGCCAAGGUAGAUGGAGGUGAACCGCUUCUAAUAGUCCAUUGACUUGGACAAUACUUUUAUGAUCUGAUCUCAAAUCAGGUAGGACUACCCGCUGAACUUAAGC
rnacentral:misc_RNA from 1 species